AUUGAACGCUGGCGGCAGGCCUAACACAUGCAAGUCGAGCGAGCGGCGGACGGGUGAGUAAUGUAUGGGGACUGCCCGAUAGAGGGGGCUAACUACUGGAAACGGUGGCUAAUACCGCAUACUAUAGUAUAACCGAUAUGGGAGUAGCUAGUAGGGGGGGUAAAGGCUCACUUAGGCGACGAUCUCUAGCUGGUCUGAGAGGAUGAUCAUCCACACUGUGACUGAGACACGGCCCAGACUCCUACGGAGGCAGCAGUGGGGAAUAUUGCACAAUGGGCGCAAGCCUGAUGCAGCCAGGCCGCGUGUAUGAAGAAGGCCUUAGGGUUGUAAAGUACUUUCAGCAGGGAGGCGUUACCCGAAGAAGAAGCACCGGCUAACUCCGUGCCAGCAGCCGCGGUAAUAC
rnacentral:rRNA from 1 species